AGCGGGGUAAAGUAAUGGUUAACUCGUUUGGUUCAUGAUUUGAAGAUUGCAGGUUCGAAUCCUGUCCCCGCGU
rnacentral:tRNA from 1 species